GUCUAUGGCCAUACCACCCUGAAGACAACUGAUCUCAUCUGAUCUCGGAAGCUAAGCAGGGUCUGGCCUGGUUAGUAUGUGGAUG
ensembl:rRNA 5S_rRNA 5S ribosomal RNA